rnacentral:rRNA from 1 species
UACAGAGACCUCAAGCGUUAUCCGGAAUCAUUGGGCGUUAAAGCGUACCGAUAGGUGGUUAUACAAGUCAGAAGUGAAAUUCCAAAGCUUAACUUUGGGUCUGUCUUUUGAAACUGUAUAACUAGAAGGGCAAAGAGGAAGCUGGAACAAACGGUGUAGUAGUGAAAUGCGUUGAUAUCGUUUGGAACACCAAUAGCGUAGGCAGGCUUCUGGGUGCCACUUGACACUGCUAGGACGAAAGCGUGGGGAGCGAAUGGG